GAGCUAGACUUUUUUUUUAGUCAAUUAAGUGGGUUUAUUUUAGUUGUAUAGAGUAUUGAUAUGAGUUAACUCUUUUUAGUAGAUGGCAAAGUGGGCUUGAUGUUCAAAAGUAAUGUUCGAGUUAGGGUUCAUGGUCCCUUUCUCAGUAAUUUUUUCUUAAUAAAAGUAAACACUGGUUCAAAGACAAAUAGCAAGUAUUCCCUCCUGUGCUGUUUAUAGAGGGCUCAAUUCGUAGAAAGGCAUACCCUCCAAUGCAAUUCUGUGGCUGUCUCUUACAGUGGUUUCAGAAUCACGAUAAAACAGCUAGUAAACAAGAUAGGAACAAAAAAGAAAGAGUUCAGAAGUUCCCUGUGAGCAAACUGUGUGUCUCCAGCUAGCUUGAACCAAAGUCUUCAUAUCCUGACCCACUGAAUUAUAAGCAAUUGCUACUUGCCCAUCUUGCCAAAGUAAUCCAAACACACUUCGAUGAGGACAGUUAUAUUUAGCAGGUCCUCACCCCUGCAAGAGACAGCAUAUCCUCACUAUUAUUAUUCAUGUGUUAUUGGCAAAAACAUAGCUUGCAUCUUUCCAGAGGCAGAGUUUCAAAGACAGGGUUUUCUUUGAGACAUAAGCACAUUGCUUAAGUACAUAACAAGGUUAUUAACACUUGCGCUCAGGAGAAAGGAAAUAGCUAUUGCAAAUUAAUGUGUGCAACUUAAUAAAAUAAGCUGUUUGUGUAUAUGAAUUUAGCUCUAGGUAAGCAAAAUGCACACAUCAUAUAAAAAUAAAUUGCAACGAUCAGACCAAGUGGCUGUGCUGAACAUCAAAGAAAAGACAUGUUGUUGCCAUCAGGAGAACUCUUUCUUAUAUGCGAUAGCCAAGAUAUCUUUAAUAUGAAAAAAGUUAAUUUCUGAAUUUCAAAAAGAGUAAGAUUAGCUAAUUGGUCUUCCUAAUUUUUAUGCCUUUAGAGUUUUUAGUCUAUUCAAGUAGAAGAGUCCAGCGAGGCCAAAGAAGGGUUACGGUGUUCAAGUUCUGGUUGUUGGAGUUUUUAGCCCAGAGUGACAUACUGAAAUCAGUAAAUAAUUAUUUUAUAAUGACACAGCACAACUGCCUUGUUAUGAAUUUUUCUUAAAUGCAUAUAUACUGUAUUUAAAAUUAAAAUACAGAUACCAAUUUACCAAAGAUACAUAUUACUAAUUCUAAGCAAAAUUUUUAAAAAAUCCCCAACUCAUCAUAAUUUAAGAAUCAAAAUGUAGUUCGUCUUAAGAAUUUAGCGGUUAUACUGGAAAUGCAUUUUCAACUCCUAUGUUCUAAAGUUUAUGUUCAAAUGGUGCCAGCGAAUUUUUAUAUGAAGGGAAAAUGCCUGCUUUUUUUGUUUUUUUUAACAGAUGUAAUUUCACUUAACCCUUUGCGCUUUCCCUUAGUUGUCAUUUAACAUACAAUACUGGCUUUACUUAUCUCUAGAAAGAAGGCAUGCUACAAAUAGGAAGGAAUUGUAAUAACGAUAUUUGGCCUCUACUUUGUCUUAGCUGUUAAACUGUUUUUAGUAUUUUUGUUAAAUAUUUGCAAAGGGAAGCAUUUUCUACAGACGAUAAUUAAUUUCAAGAAAAAUCUUGAGUUUUAAGAAAUAAACAUCUCCAGAAAAGGAGACAGUCGAUUUUAUAAAAUGUCGCAACUCUCCAACAUUUGGGGUAGUGACUCCUUUUUUGUUAGGACAUUUGAAACUAGCAAGCAGCCAUUGUUUCUAAAGAAUUCUGCCCUCAUGUUGACCCAUGUUUCUUUCACUUCAUUUUGAAAUAGCUAAAAAUCAUUAAAACUGUAAAUAUUUUGUUGCUUGGGUAAGCAUCUUCUGGGAACUUUGUAUCUAUGGUAUAUAAUCAUAGAAUUUUAUAUUUUCAUAUAAAGCUAAUUUUUUUCUAGUUUCAACUCCGUCAUAGUUUUUUUUCCUUUUUGUGGUGGAUAUGUGAAUUCAACUUUCUGUGUACUGAAGUAGCAAAAACCAUCUUUACAUUCCAAAAGAAUCCAACAUGUGUUAUUUCUUUGAGGCAGUGAUUGUGAAAGUUGGGUUUUCUUUUUAAUUCCAUUGACCAUUUGUGCAAUAGGAAUUAGACAUAAUUAGUCACUGAAAACAUUUGUCGCAUUGACCCAUUUGGAAAAAGUGUGUGUUUUUUUUAAAAUUUGUUCAGGGGGAGGGGUUUUGUAACCUGAAAUUUUUCCCUUUUUCUUCUGUUUAAACUAUAUCAAAUCAUUCUAUUAUAGUGUUAUUUAAUAUGUAAAUUGUAUUGCUAUACAUAAAAUAAAGUAUGGUUUUUGA
rnacentral:lncRNA from 1 species